rnacentral:piRNA from 1 species
UCAGAAAAUUUCGGCCAUCUCUAAAAGA